UGCCGAUGAUGACCAGCCAUGCUAAUACCGACCAGCGCAGGCUGGGCUGAGUUCGUUAUCCAAGGCCUGAGGCAC
rnacentral:snoRNA from 1 species